CUUACAGGGCUCAUGCUGAACAAAUCACGGCUAGGCAUAAUGGCCGUCGAGCGAGCCAUAGAGAUGUCGAGAAAAUACAAAAUGAGAAGUUCCAUCUAUGGUUUAGAGGCCAUAUUAUGCAGAUUGAGAGGGAAAAUGGCAUUGAUGGUAUGAAAGAUGACAUCAGAUGGCUAGCCCGUGGUCCUGUUGAAGCAGCAAAAAGGUACCGUGCUUUCAACAGUCGAGGUUUUCGAUUUAGGCCCAAACGGUUGGAUGGGGUGACACAAAAUAGUUGAGUAGUGCUGACUGCUAAAACUUCUAGUUAUGCCAGUGCAAGUGAUGAUAGACCAGUUUUAGGCGAUGUGACAUACUAUGGGAGGAUAAUUGAUAUUAUUGAGUUGAACUACUCUAGAAAAUUUUCGGUGGUUCUUUUCAAAUGUGAAUGGGUUGAUGUUCUAUCUGGAAGAGGAAUACAAAAGGACAAAUAUGGCUACACACUUGUCAACUUCUCACACCUGAUACAUACU